CAUGCUACCAGGACUACCCCUUAAUACCACAAUACCAGGACUGCCACCACUAAAUAUCAUGCUACCAGGACUGCCCCCACUAAUACCACAAUACCAGGACUGCCCCUUAAUACCACAAUAACAGGACAACCCCCCCCCCUUAAUACCUCAAUACCAGGACUGCCCCUUAAAUAUCAUGCUACCAGGAUUACUACCGAAUGGCGCUCAGAUCCAAU